CCAAAUCCCUAGGUCCCUGUAUGCCCAUCGCAGUGGUGACCAAUUCGGAUUGUAACUCCAGUAUUGGUUUGGUUAGUUGGACCGCCAGCAAUAUAAAUCAGACAUACAUUGCUGUGGCAACAGGACUUGAUGGCCACAACCACGAGUGUGUCACAAAUACCAGCUCCUGCACCUGGGACGACCUACACUGUGGUGAGAAGUACACUGUCCAUGUGAUGGCGAGGAAUGGAAACCUCACCGGUCUGCCAAGCAAUGGCUCGCCCAUUCAUACAGGUAUGUGAACUGUCCACAAACCUUUUCCUAAAUCCACCAAUUAAUCCAUCUUUCAGUUUCAUGCAUGUUUUCCAGAAAUGAUAAUAAGAUUGUUAAAAUCCUGUUCAUAUCCUUCUCCAAAUCCAUAGGUCCCUGUAUGCCCCAGGCAGUGGUGACCAAUUCAGAAUGUAACUCCAGUAUUGCCUCAGUUAGUUGGACUGCCAACAAUCUAAAUCAGACAUACAUUGCUGUGGCAACAGGACUUGAUGGCCACAACCACGAGUGUGUCACAAAUACCAGCUCCUGCACCUGGGACGACCUACACUGUGGUGAGAAGUACACUGUCCAUGUGAUGGCGAGGAAUGGAAACUGCACCGGUCUGCCAAGCAAUGGCUCGCCCAUUCAUACAGGUAUGUGAACUGUCCACCAAUUUUUUUCCUCAAUCCACCAAUUAAUCUGUCUUUCAGUUUCAUGCAAGUUUUCCAGAAAUCAUAAUAAGAUUGUUAAAAUCCUGUUCACAUCCUUCUCCAAAUCCCUAGGUCCCUGUAUGCCCAUGGCAGUGGUGACCAAUUCGGAUUGUAACUCCAGUAUUGGUUUGGUUAGUUGGACCGCCAGCAAUAUAAAUCAGACAUACCUUGCUGUGGCAACAGGACUUGAUGGCCACAACCACGAGUGUGUCACAAAUACCAGCUCCUGCACCUGGGACGACCUACACUGUGGUGAGGAGUACACUGUCCAAGUGAUGGCGAGAAAUGGAAACUGCACUAGUCUGCCAAGCAAUGGCCCUAUCAUUCAUAUGGGUCCUUGUAUGCUCCAAGCAGUGGUGACCAAUUCGGAAUGUAACUCCAGUAUUGGCUCAGUUAGUUGGACUGCCAGCAGCAUGAAUGAGACAUACAUCGCUGUGGCAACAGGACUUGAUGGCCACACACACGAGUGUUUCACAAAUACCAGCUCCUGCACCUGGGACGACCUACACUGUGGUGAGAAGUACACUGUCCAUGUGAUGGCGAGGAAUGGAAACUGCACCGGUCUGCCAAGCAAUGGCUCGCCCAUUCAUACAGGUAUGUGAACUCUCCACCAAUUUUUACCUUAAUCCACCAAUUAAUCUGUUUUUCAGUUACAUGCAAGUUUUCCAGAAAUCAUAAUAAGAUUGUUAAAAUCCUGUUCACAUCCUUCUCCAAAUCCCUAGGUCCCUGUAUGCCCAUGGCAGUGGUGACCAAUUCGGAAUGUAACUCCAGUAUUGGUUUGGUUAGUUGGACCGCCAGCAAUAUAAAUCAGACAUACCUUGCUGUGGCAACAGGACUUGAUGGCCACAACCACGAGUGUGUCACAAAUACCAGCUCCUGCACCUGGGACGACCUACACUGUGGUGAGGAGUACACUGUCCAAGUGAUGGCGAGGAAUGGAAACUGCACUAGUCUGCCAAGCAAUGGCCCUAUCAUUCAUAUGGGUAUGAGAC
rnacentral:lncRNA from 1 species